UACGUAGGGUGCGAGCGUUAAUCGGAAUUACUGGGCGUAAAGCGUGCGCAGGCGGAUGUUUAAGUCAGAUGUGAAAUCCCCGGGCUUAACCUGGGAAUGGCAUUUGAAACUGGACGUCUAGAGUGCGUCAGAGGGGGGUGGAAUUCCACGUGUAGCAGUGAAAUGCGUAGAGAUGUGGAGGAACACCGAUGGCGAAGGCAGCCCCCUGGGAUGACACUGACGCUCAUGCACGAAAGCGUGGGGAGCAAAC
rnacentral:rRNA from 1 species